rnacentral:lncRNA from 1 species
GAUCAAUCUAAUUUGGGUGGGGAAGACAGGAUCAUCAGUUGUUACGACAGAGGAGAAAAAUGGAUCCCAGGUUGUCCCAGCACCCUCGCUCAAAUAAAAGUACCAGAGGGGGGACCAAAGGAUCAUGAUCAUGUCCCAAAAUUGGUAUUAGUAAGGGAAGCAGAAGAAAGAAGAAAAUAGAUAAGGGGGCAAAGAGUUGCCCGAAAUAAGUUCAGACAAAAGCCAGAAGCAAAUCAAGCAAAAGGAAAAUACAUGUUCAUUUUGCUAAAAGAAGGGUUACAAAUAAAUUCUAGUCUAAUAAUUUUACAUCUCUACUCAGAGUGAUUAUUCGAGAAUGAUAUGUUUGCAUGAUGGCAAAGAUCCUACUAGGUUCGACUAAAACAGUAUGGUUAUUUGCAAGUUGAGACCUAGUAUGCUCUAAUUCCGAGUCUGACUUCUUCACUUCUUCGAUUUGGUUUUUGAGGGUGUCAAGAAGAGUUGCUU